AGUGGCGGACGGGUGAGUAACGCGUGGGUAACCUGCCUCAUACAGGGGGGAUAACAGUUAGAAAUGACUGCUAACACCGCAUAAUAUAGCGAAACCGCAUGAUUUUGCUAUCAAAUAUUUAUAGGUAUGAGAUGGGCCCGCGUCUGAUUAGCUAGUUGGUGGGGUAAAAGCCUACCAAGGCGACGAUCAGUAGCCGGCUCGAGAGAGUGACCGGCCACAUUGGGACUGAGACACCGGCCCAAACUCCUACGGGAGGCAGCAGGUGGGGAAUAUUGGACAAGUCGGGGGAAACCCUGAUCCAGCGAACCGCCGCGUGAGUGAAGAAGUUAUUUCGGUAUAGUAAAGCUCUAUCAGCGAGGGAAGAUAAUGACAGUACCUGACUAAGAACGCCCCGGCUAACUACGUGCCAGCCGCUGC
rnacentral:rRNA from 1 species